rnacentral:rRNA from 1 species
GCCGCGGUAAUACGGAGGGUGCAAGCGUUAAUCGGAAUUACUGGGCGUAAAGCGCACGCAGGCGGUCUGUCAAGUCGGAUGUGAAAUCCCCGGGCUCAACCUGGGAACUGCAUUCGAAACUGGCAGGCUAGAGUCUUGUAGAGGGGGGUAGAAUUCCAGGUGUAGCGGUGAAAUGCGUAGAGAUCUGGAGGAAUACCGGUGGCGAAGGCGGCCCCCUGGACAAAGACUGACGCUCAGGUGCGAAAGCGUGGGGAGCAAACAGGAUUAGAUACCCUGGUAGUCCACGCCGUAAACGAUGUCGAUUUGGAGGUUGUGCCCUUGAGGCGUGGCUUCCGGAGCUAACGCGUUAAAUCGACCGCCUGGGGAGUACGGCCGCAAGGUUAAAACUCAAAUGAAUUGACGGGGGCCCGCACAAGCGGUGGAGCAUGUGGUUUAAUUCGAUGCAACGCGAAGAACCUUACCUGGUCUUGACAUCCACAGAACUUUCCAGAGAUGGAUUGGUGCCUUCGGGAACUGUGAGACAGGUGCUGCAUGGCUGUCGUCAGCUCGUGUUGUGAAAUGUUGGGUUAAGUCCCGCAACGAGCGCAACCC